GGGAUCCGUGCCUGUCCGAGGCUCCAGAGUCGUCCAGGGGUUGCUUGGAGGCCUGAGAGGCCGAGUGGGCCCCUGACAGGGGUGCAGCGCCAUCCUCACCUCUGUUCUCCCCUCUCCCCUUCACAGUGCUUGGAGAAGUUUCCUGUGAUCCAGCACUUCAAGUUCGGGAGCCUGCUGCCCAUCCAUCCGGUCACCUCGUGCUAGGGGCUGAGCAGCCAGGGCCACCCAGGCCGCAGUUCUGUGCCUGCCCUCCCCUGCCCCAGCUCCGGUCACUCCCUGACCCCUCCCUCUGUUCUUUCUGUUUGCUGAGAGGCUGUCUGCUGGGGUGGGUGGUGAGCGUGGGGUUGAGGGAGGCCCAGGGCCUAAGGCUGAAGGACCCCGAGUGAAGGGAGAAGUGACCACAGGGGGGCCCGUUUCUCCAUGGCGGGAGGGUGUGCUCGGGCCCCAGCCCCACGCUUGGCCUUCCUCUCCUCCUUUCUCUCCUGUCCCGUCCAGCACGAGACCUGGGCUGGUCUGCACCACUGGGAGGGGAGGGGUUUGCGGUUUCCAUUGCUUUCCUUUCCUAGGUCCUGUUGCCUUUUUAGGGGUUGGAGCAGUUGCUCCCCGUGGGGUGGGUCAGUUUCCUAAGCCAUGUUUGGGUGGGUGUCUGGGGUUCUGAAGACUGGAGGAUGAGGCUGGUGGCCAGCCUCGGGGGGAGUUGGGGACCAAGAAGCGUUGGGUGUUCUGGCCCGUGACCCUCCCAGCUUCUUUUCAUGGCUGCCCUCUGGGCCUGCUGGCACCUGUGUCCAGCGCCUCAAUCUGGCUUCCUGUUCUUUGACCUUUGGCUCUGCUGGGUUUUCUGGCCAUAGCCACUCCUGUUGCCCUCUACAAGGGUGGCCUCUGGAAGCUGCCCUUUGGGUAGGCACUGGGUGCAGGGCCUGCUCACUGGCUUAUUGGGUGAGGCCUGCCUUUCUAAAGUUUCUCAGGCUGGGAGGGGGUGGCAGAGACACAGGGAGGGGCUGGGGCCCGCUGUGGUUGUGGGGAACCUGGGUUCCUCUGGAAUCUUAGGUUCUGCUCCCUCCUCCCUGCUGCUUGCUUCUCCAGGGCCCUGUGGCCCUAUUUCCCUGCCCUUCAGGGCAGUGGGCCAGGGGCCACUGGAGCACUCAGCAGCAACCCCCCCCCAUCCUCCCCUCUCCCUGAACUCACCCACUGGCUCUCCAGGAUGAGGCAGCCACGGCCCCGCCGAGCCCAGGCUUUGGCUCUGCAGAUCGGCAGGGGCGGGGCUGGGUGAGGGGUUGUUGGCAUGCCAGGUUCUGAGGUUUCUUCUAGGGCUGCUCUUGGGCCAGCCUCUUGCAGGCUCUCCCUGGCCCAAGCCCAGGCCUGCCCUUCUCCACUACCCCCACUCUCUAUCCGGGUCCACAUCUCCUUUGGGAAGGGGGAGCUCCCAAGAAGCACAGUUCAGGGACUUGACCCUCACAUCUGGGCCGAUGGCCUGGGCAGAGGCCGGGACAGGAACCACUAGAGUCACAGAAAUCGUUUUCCUAGGAGAGGCCUCAUGCUGGCCUCCCUCCCAGGGUCCAGACCACCGCCUUCCUGGCUCCUCUUGCCCUUGCCCACCUUGUCCCCCCCCCGCCCCAGCCCCAUGCGCCUUCAUUGCUGUUUGGAUUAAAGCCUCUGUUUUGCACCUGUCACCCGUGUGAGGUGUGUCUUUUCAUGCCACGUGUUUACUCCUUCUCCACAUGCCUGUUUGUCUCCCCAUCAGGUCCCCUUCCCUCGGGCCAUGGUGUCUGGGGCUGGGGCCGGCUCAGCGGGCGUCUGGGCUGAGCCUUUCCCAGGCAGCCAGUGAACAUGCAGCGGUCGUCCAAGCAGGCUCUGGCGGGUCCUGGCUGUCCCCACCCCCAGCUGGAAGGUCUUGGAUGAGUCUCCUCAGAGGAUGAGCCCUCGGCCCUUCUCCCAGCCUCGGAGGCCUUGCUGAGGAGAGCCUGGUGGCCGAGAGCCCUGCCUCGAGUCAGGCCCACCCGAGCCAACCUAAGGCCUGCUGCACUGCUUACCAGCUGGGAGACCCUCAGAGUUGACUUCACCUCAGCCUGGCUUCCUAAUCAGGAAAGUGGGCAUAAUGCUACUCCGGCCAUGGAUUGUGAGGACCCAGUCAUUUCACAGAUGGGAACCCCUGGUCAUCCUUCGGAGCUCAGCUGAGGCCUCCCUUCCUCUGAGAGUCCUCCUGUGGUCCCCCGCCUAUCCUCUGCUCUGAGCACUCAGCAUACCCUGGCUAUGGGGGCGACAUGUAUGGCAGCGGCGGCCCCAGGAUGG